UACGGGGGGGAGCAAGCGUUGUUUCGGAUUUACUGGGCGUAAAGGCGCGUAGGCGGCCACUGCAAGUCGGUUGUGAAAUCUCCGGGCUUAACCCGGAAAGGUCAACCGAUACUGCAGGGCUAGAGUGCAGAAGGGGCAACUGGAAUUCUCGGUGUAGCGGUGAAAUGCGUAGAUAUCGAGAGGAACACCCUGCGGCGAAGGCGGGUUGCUGGGCUGAUACUGACGCUGAGGCGCGAAAGCCAGGGGAGCGAACGGG
rnacentral:rRNA from 1 species